rnacentral:rRNA from 1 species
CCCUUAGAUGUUCUGGGCUGCACGCGCGCUACACUGAUGCGCUCAACGAGUUUACGAACUUGCCCGGAAGGGUUGGUUAAUCUUUUUAAAACGCAUCGUGAUGGGGAUAGAUUAUUGCAAUUAUUAAUCUUCAACGAGGAAUUCCUAGUAAGCGCGAGUCAUCAGCUCGCACUGAUUACGUCCCUGCCCUUUGUACACACCGCCCGUCGCUCCUACCGAUUGGGUGUGCUGGUGAAAUGUUCGGAUCGGCCGUUUGUCGCGGUUUCCGCGUCAUGUGGCUGAGAAGUUCAUUAAACCCUCCCACCUAGAGGAAGGAGAAGUCGUAACA